rnacentral:rRNA from 1 species
UGAUGACGUCAAGUCAUCAUGGCCCUUACGGCCAGGGCUACACACGUGCUACAAUGGUCGGUACAACGGGCUGCCAAGUCGCGAGACGGAGCCAACCCCAUCAAAACCGAUCGUAGUCCGGAUUGCACUCUGCAACUCGAGUGCAUGAAGUCGGAAUCGCUAGUAAUCGCGGAUCAGAAUGCCGCGGUGAAUACGUUCCCGGGCCUUGUACACACCGCCCGUCACACCAUGGGAGUGGGUUGCACCAGAAGUAGCUAGUCUAACCUUCGGGAGGACGGUUACCACGGUGUGAUUCAUGACUGGGGUGAAGUCGUAACAAGGUAGCA